UCCCUGGUGGCUCAGAGGUUAAAGCAUCUGCCUGCAAUGCAGGAGAGCCAGGUUUGAUCCCUGAGUCAGGAA
rnacentral:tRNA from 1 species